UACGGGGGGAGCAAGCGUUGUUCGGAUUUACUGGGCGUAAAGGGCGCAUAGGCGGCCACCGCAAGUCGACUGUGAAAUCUCCGGGCUUAACCCGGAAAGGUCAGCCGAUACUGCGGGGCUAGAGUGCAGAAGGGGCAACUGGAAUUCUUGGUGUAGCGGUGAAAUGCGUAGAUAUCGAGAGGAACACCUGCGGCGAAGGCGGGUUGCUGGGCUGACACUGACGCUGAGGCGCGAAAGCUAGGGGAGCAAACGGG
rnacentral:rRNA from 1 species